GUCUAGCCUGCUCACUGAUAAUUAAUAUUAAAUAGCCGCGGUAUCUUGACCGUGCAAAGGUAGCAUAAUCAUUAGUUUUUUAAUUGGAAACUCGUAUGAAUGGUUGGACAAAGAAGAAACUGUCUCUCUUGUUAAAGUUGAAUUUAACUUCUAAGUGAAAAGGCUUAGAUUGUCUAGAGGGACGAUAAGACCCUAUAAAGCUUUAUAAAUUUAGGGAUUUUAUAAAUUUUUAAAUAACAAUAAUUUUUCGAUUAUUUAUUUGGUUGGGGCGACAAUAGUAUAAUGAAAGUAACUGCUUUUAGAUAAAACAUGAGUAUGUGAGUCAUAUUUAAUUGAUCCUUUUUAAAGAUUUUAAGAUCAAGUUACUUUAGGGAUAACAGCGUUAUUUCUUCUGAGAGUUCUUAUCAAAGGAGAAGUUUGCGACCUCGAUGUUGAAUUAAAAUGUCUAUGUAGUGCAGCAGCUACACAAGAAGGUCUGUUCGACCUUUAAUAUUUUACAUGAUUUGAGUUCAGACCGGCGGGAGCCAGGUCGGUUUCUAUCUUCUAGAAAAAUAAAGACCACUUUAGUACGAAAGGAUUGAGUGGUCAAAAUUCUUUUCACAUCUGAAAU
rnacentral:rRNA from 1 species